rnacentral:tRNA from 2 species
GCAGGUAUGGCGGAAUUGGCAGACGCGUAUGGUUCAGGUCCAUAUGAGCGCAAGUUCAUGCAGGUUCAAGUCCUGUUACCUGCACCA